rnacentral:lncRNA from 1 species
CUCGUCCACUAGGGCCACCUAGGGGUUUAAAGCCUUAUUGCAUACGGUAAAUGCAAUAACGAUUCCUGCGAAAGUGAGUUAGUUUUUAUUUUGCUCGAGGACUAGCAGAAUGUAGGUUAGGGGGUGUGAUAAGUGCUAAAUAAUGCAUAAAUUAAUAUCUUAUUUAUAGCACUUAUCAUUAUUUUAAUUCAUAUAUUUUGUAAAUUUAACUAAAAAAAUGUGUUACCUUCAUCAUUGCAUUUUAAUAAAUUAUUAAAGGUAAUUCGAGUUUUACUUAUUUAUUUACUGAUUGAGUCUAAUGUAUGCAGGUCGAGUCAAACUCAUUUGGGAUGAUCCCUGAACCCAAAUCGCAUGCACCCUGCGAUUCAAAUCCUCUCA